rnacentral:lncRNA from 1 species
AAGUUUGUUUGUUUCCCUUUUUAAAAACUAGAAGGCUGCAGUGGGCUGAGAUUGCACAGUGGCACUCCAGUCUGGGGGACAGAGUGAGACCCCAUCUCAAAAAAAUGAAAGCUAACAAAAAGCUAGAUCCCAGAGUACUUCAGAAGUUGAUUCUGACAGUUUUUGCCACCUUAUUAGUUGUGUUGGGGGAGGGAUGGAGCCCUGGAAUUCCCUACUCCACCAUUUUGGGCCGCACAGUACCUUUAAAGUGCUCCUCUGUCUCCGGGGAAAUUCCUGCACUGUGAGUCUAUAGAUCCCCUAGGUGGAGGCCAGGACUUGUUUUCCCCAUCUCCCUUGCAGCCAGUAACCCCCUCAGUUCCUAGCAAGAUUGGCUCUCGAUUUUUUUAAAUGGAUUUUUCUUUUAUUCUUUUCUUUUUUUUUUUUUUUUUUGAGAUGGAGUUUUGCUCUUAUUGCUCAGGCUGGAGUGUGUACAGUGGCGCCAUCUCGGCUCACUGCAACCUCCGCCUCC